UACGUAGGGACCGAGCGUUGUCCGGAAUCAUUGGGCGUAAAGAGCGUGUAGGCGGCUAUUUAAGUCCUGCGUGAAAUCCUGCGGCUCAACCGCAGACGGUCGUGGGAAACUGGAUGGCUAGAGUGCGGGAGAGGAGAGUGGAAUUCCGAGUGUAGAGGUGAAAUUCGUAGAUAUUCGGAAGAACACCAGUGGCGAAGGCGACUCACUGGACAUGUAUUGACGCUGAGGUGCGAAAGCGUGGGGAGCAAAAAGG
rnacentral:rRNA from 1 species